rnacentral:misc_RNA from 1 species
AGCAAUGCUUGGCCAUUGUCGGUUUUUUGUGCUGAAUACCUACUUGAAAGGCAUUCUUCGGUUGCAAAWUARAAGAUUCCGCCUUGUGCCGCGCCCUUUGGGGAUGCGGUGUAGGGUGGACCUCGAAGCACGCUGCGUGUCCCACGGAACUUGCACAACCUUGUGCUUGUUUUGUUGGCUCAUGUGGCCGUGCGCGGUCUCUCGGAUAUAGAACAUUGUGCGGGCAUGAGGUCUCGGCCUCUAUCUUGCCCMAACGACAAGCGUUCUACGCUUUGUGCGAACGACUUCC